rnacentral:rRNA from 1 species
UACGUAGGGACCAAGCGUUGUUCGGAUUUACUGGGCGUAAAGGGCGCGUAGGCGGCGUGGUAAGUCACUUGUGAAAUCUCUGAGCUUAACUCAGAACGGCCAAGUGAUACUGCUGUGCUAGAGUGCAGAAGGGGCAAUCGGAAUUCUUGGUGUAGCGGUGAAAUGCGUAGAGAUCCGGAGGAACACCAGUGGCGAAGGCGACACGCUGGGCCGUACCUGACACUGAUGCGCGACAGCAUGGGGAGCAAACAGG